GCCACACACAGGGUGUGGUGGCGUGAACCUAUAGCCCCAGCUACGCGGAAGGCUGAGGCCGGAGGAUGGCUUCAGUCAGGAGUUCUGGUGACCUCCCAGGAGUCGGGAACCACCAGUUUGCCUAAGAAGGAGUGAAACAGCCAAGGUUGGAAAGGAAGGAGGUCAAAACUCCCGUGCUGAUGAGCAGUGGAAUCGCGCCUGUGAAUAGCCACUGCACUCCAGCCUGGACAAUGUAGUCAGUCCCCAUCUCU
rnacentral:sRNA from 1 species